rnacentral:rRNA from 1 species
GACGAACGCUGGCGGCGUGCUUAACACAUGCAAGUCGAACGGAAAGGCCCUGCUUUCGUGGGGUGCUCGAGUGGCGAACGGGUGAGUAACACGUGAGUAACCUGCCCUUGACUUUGGGAUAACUUCAGGAAACUGGGGCUAAUACCGGAUAGGAGCUCCUGCUGCAUGGUGUGGGUUGGAAAGUUUCGGCGGUUGGGGAUGGACUCGCGGCUUAUCAGCUGGUUGGUGGGGUAGUGGCUUACCAAGGCUUUGACGGGUAGCCGGCCUGAGAGGGUGACCGGCCACAUUGGGACUGCGAUACGGCCCAGACUGCUACGGGGGGCAGCAGUGGGGAAUAUUGCACAAUGGGCGGAAGCCUGAGGCAGCAACGCCGCGUGCGGGAUGACGGCUUUCGGGUUGUAAACCGCUUUCGCCUGUGACGAAGCGUGAGUGACGGUAAUGGGUAAAGAAGCACCGGCUAACUACGUG